AGAUUGAACGCUGGCGGCAGGCCUAACACAUGCAAGUCGAGCGGUAGAGAGGUGCUUGCAUCUCUUGAGAGCGGCGGACGGGUGAGUAAUGCCUAGGAAUCUGCCUAGUGGUGGGGGAUAACGUUCGGAAACGGACGCUAAUACCGCAUACGUCCUACGGGAGAAAGCGGGGGACCUUCGGGCCUCGCGCCAUUAGAUGAGCCUAGGUCGGAUUAGCUAGUUGGUGAGGUAAUGGCUCACCAAGGCGACGAUCCGUAACUGGUCUGAGAGGAUGAUCAGUCACACUGGAACUGAGACACGGUCCAGACUCCUACGGGAGGCAGCAGUGGGGAAUAUUGGACAAUGGGCGAAAGCCUGAUCCAGCCAUGCCGCGUGUGUGAAGAAGGUCUUCGGAUUGUAAAGCACUUUAAGUUGGAGAAGGUUGUAACCUAAUACGUUGCAACUUUGACGUUACGACAGAAUAAGCACCGGCUAACUUCGUGCCAGCAGCCGUA
rnacentral:rRNA from 1 species